UGCCACGCCCAGUGGACCCACUGUGUUUCU
rnacentral:piRNA from 1 species